CAUGCUGACACAAAAAGGCAGUAAAGACUUUGUUGUAAACACUAAGAGAUCCAUACAUCCAUGGGGUGUGCCACAGCCGCAAAUUACGCCCACUAUUGUGAACAAGGUUCUUAAAGUGAACAUAUCUGGUUUUGUUAUGAGCACAUAGCACUCCAAGCCCAAAAGGCCUCGCAUUGAAUUGAUGCAAGAGAAGGCUUUGAAAAAUAACAGCAGUUUUGUUGUGUGGUCCAAUACGUCCUUCGACUCUCAACCUGAAGAAAGCAAAACUCAAACUCAUCUCUUAGAAAUAUCAGCAAGGCCAGCAUGUCAUCUCAGCUUCUUGAACUUCAGUGAAUUUUACUAGCAAACAUGACAAACGUCAUUGAAGUGAAAGUCGAUGACAACCCCCUUCUUGCAAAAAUACUACAACUCGCUUAAGAAAUUCAGCAUGAAGACGUCUUGCAUCAAACCACCAAGCCUCCUUUCAAUAUCUCCUCCCAUGUUGGCUACAUCAACACUUCCAACAGCAGAGCCUUGGUGAGUAAGACUUCCGUCUCAGCAUCGAUGUCGCUUAGCAACAAUUGGAUGAUGGGCGUCGACAAAUUAUGCCGUACAAGUCGCUCGAACUGAAACGAUCUGAUCCAACAGGUAGAGAGUCCAUUAAUGUGACUACUCGAUAUGUUGUUCUUGAAUAAUGUGAACCUUAGGCCUGGAGAGCAGUAUGCGAUUGACGCCAUUCAACAACAGUUGUUGUCGGCAAUUCUCGGGUUUGAGGUGGCGACUUCAGCGUCGGGACUCGCUCCAUCUCUGUCUGGCCCAGUCACAGCAGCAGCAGCAACAAGAACAAUAAGUAGUAUCUUAGUGGUGUUCUGGGAUAUGGGGCUUCAUGUAUGUGCUUAAAUUGUCAUCCCAGAUUAGCCUGUGCAGACUGCACCUACAUUAAGUCCUAUUAAAUUGUCGUCCCAGAUUAGCGUAUGCAGACUGCACAUACAUAAAGUCCUAUAAAAUUGUCAUCCCAGAUUAGCCUGUGCAAACUGCACAAACAUUACGUCCUAUUAAAGUGUCAUCCCAGAUUAGCCUGUGCAGACUGCACAAACAUUAUGUCCUAUUAAAGUGUCAUCCCAGAUUAGCCUGUGCAGACUGCACAUUAAGUCCUAUUAAAGUGUCAUCACAGAUUUGCCUGUGCAGACUGCACAUACAUUAAGUCCUAUUAAAUUGUCGUCCCAGAUUAGCGUAUGCAGACUGCACAUACAUAAAGUCCUAUUAAAUUGUCAUCCCAGAUUAGCCUGUGCAGACUGCACAAACAUUAAGUCCUAUUAAAGUGUCAUCCCAGAUUAGCCUGUGCAGACUGCACAUACAUUUAGUCCUAUUAAAGUGUCAUCCCAGAUUAGCCUGUGCAGACUGCACAUACAUUAAGCCCUAUUUUCCCAGAAUGAGGCUUGUAUACUUCACUUAACAUCAGUAUUUUAUGUGCCUGAAAAGUUCCUAGCAUCAAAUGGGAAUUAUGUGCUUUUAAAUUGAUCACACUAAGUAAAUAAAAUGCAAAUAGCACUUGAUCUGAUAUCAAUUUUAAUCAUAGAAGGUCAGGGCAUGAAGUUUUGUAUAUUUUCGACCGAAAUUCAGCCCCUGAACCAAAAGUUUAUCCUUGCAGAAAAAUCUGCUUUAAUAGAAUUGUAAAAUUAUAUUUAAUGUAGUAAAAUAAUUAUGUAAAAGCCUUCAGCUCAUUUCAAUAUUAUUUUCUUUAUUUAUUUUCAAUAUUUAUUUAAAUUACUAGAUUUUGUUUUAAGAGCCUGUUCCUACAGGAACCCAUGCACUCAUAGAUCGGUACCUAGCUGAACAACAGGCUGUCUGGUCAGCUGGGCCCAGACGCCCAGUGACACUUCCUGGCCGAGGACCUUUGGGCAAAUGCUCAACUAGUCCUACCCACAGGGUGGAGCCACACUGAUCCUGGGGCUCCAUACUUUCUUGGCCAGGGGCCAAGAUAACCUCGCCAAUAAGGGACUCAUUCCUGGGAUGCCCUAAGGUCUUUCUAUCUGUUCACAGAGGUCUUAUACUCACAAGUUCAAGCCCAUUGAGCGAUGUUCACAUUAUCAAACUCUGCAUCUCAAUAGAAACCCGGAUAGCAAAGCGUUGGUUUGUUUUUGAAACAUUUGAACCAGCAACAGUCAUCAUUGGAGUUUCUGACAUGUCUAUGGUGUGGAACCCUCAGUCUAUGAACAUCAUAACAGCACAUGAACCAGCAGCAGUCAUCAUCUCAAGAUUCUGGUAUAUCCAUGGUACAGGACCCUUAGUCUGUACAGAUCUUGCAGAACAAACUUCAGAUGCAAUUUGAGAAAAUCAAACCAUCCAAUCUGUUGCAGCAAUUGUUAACAUAUUGAUCCCAGUCAAACCUAAGAAGCUCAGAGUUACAUACUGUUUAACAUGUGCUAGUCUUCAUAUACCUCCUGGUUUGUUCAGCACUUACUCUUUGAAUGUUAUGACGGGUGAAAAUGAAUGACCUUGUUCAGAUCGAAAUUGCAGAAUGACACAUCACAACAAUUCAAGUGGAAAGCCACAAAGCCAUGUCAACAGCCACAUGUUGUAUGUUGCCAGCCAAGCUGUAUUAAAAAACACAAUAGCUUACGUUUUAUGUUAUAUGUGACCAACCAAGUUAUAUUCAUACAAAAACAAUAGUUUAUGCUUUAUGGGAAUUGUUAUGCUGUCAGUCUUUAUGUUGAAAUAUUGUGUUCAAUAUAGCAUGUUAAGUAUUUUAAAAGCACGCAUAUUGCUCGUAUAUGCAAUCUCUUUGUCUAUAUUAUGAUAUCACUACAUAUUGUGAUCCCGAUAAUGGUAAACUAAUGGGAAAUAUGCUUUAAUCAAAGACUUUCAAAGUGUGACAAAGCUGUCUAAAUGAGGUUGGUAACUUGGACAACAUUAAUAAAAUAUUGGAGUAUUUUCAUGUUAUAAAACAUGUUUCAGUUUUCUGUUUUUUUACCCGUAUUAUAGAUAAGCUAGAUAAAAGUAGUGUAAAGAAAGGUUUAGAAGUUUUACGCUUCAGCUUUUCUGUUUAUCAAUCUUUCUAAAAAAAAUACUAAUAAAUUUGCACAUUCGGGUCGGUUUUCGAACAAGAAUCUUGUUUAAUAGCAUUCGUGGAAAUCCAAAUAAAUUAUGUGCACACUUAUGUAAUUUACCUAAAAGUGUCGAUUCUGUAUUUACUACCAGUACUUUGUUGAUUUCAAUGGAUAUUGUUUGUUAAAUAGUCGAGAAUGGCUCUUGCAUUUUUGGGAAAACUUUAAGGAAAACCUGAAAAUUAAAAAAAACAUUUUUUUCGAGUUUUAUUAAAAGUGGCAAAAGUUAUAAAUGUUAUUUUGUGUUGUUAGAUCAUAGACUUAGAUGCUCAUAAGUGUUUAAAUUUAUUUUCGGACAUAAUAGUUUAUAAUGCUUUAUAUUUGUAUAUGCAUAUGAAGACGACCAAAAUGUAUCCUCUUUAAUCACUGAGUAUCUUACUGGUAAUCAAUAUCUCUUGAUCACUGCAUACAUUGUAGAGGUAUAUUUGACAUUUAUAUACAGAGCAACACUGUGAAACAAUAGUAUUUUAAACGUACAUUAUUUAUUUAUUGUUGCAAUUGUUAUAAGAUAAACUCACUGUUUACAUUAAUUUGUACACAUCAUAGUCAUAAAAAAUAUUGAUUGUGUGAAUCCUCAUAUAUGUAUUGAACUGUUAAAAUAAUGCACAGUAACAGAUUCUGAAGAGAAAAAUGUACUCAAUGAAAUAUAAACACCUUGUUAUAUCAACUGCUUUGAAUGAAGAACAACUACUUAAAAUAAGUUUAAUUUUGUUUUACAUUAUCUAAAGAAAAUUUAGUACCUUGUUAUUUGAAAUCAGUCAUUCACAAAUUAAGGAAUAGUGUUGUCAUAUGCUAACAAUUGUCAAAAAAAUGAAAUUGUCUCUAUUGGUAGAGUAGAGAGCAAUAGUAUUUGCUUAACAAAAUAUAAACAAAGAUGUCUGCUUUGUAAGUGUAUGUGGAAUAAACACUUAUGUUUGUGCUUAUAUUAAACGUGAAUGUAUUGACGUAUUGCUGAUAAUAAAGUUUGACAUUUUAUUAGUUUUGUAACAAUGUGUUUGACCUUUUAUGUUAACAUUCCCACAAUUGAUGUCAGCGCAGUGCCUUCAAUGGAGUCAUUUUCUGUAAAUCUCCCACUGUUAAAGUUCAGCAAAUGUUUUAAGACCAGAUUUCCUUAAACUUGGAGUUGUUUAUAUUUAACAUUUUUUGAAUGCAUGAAACAUGUUUUUUAUGUUGUAGAAUAGCUGAAACUAGCUUGAUGUUUGUAAAUUGUUUGACAUGUUAAUCAAAUUGAUAAUAGAGACCAACACUCAUUAUGCGUUAAUUUGUAUGUUUAGCUAAACAAAAAAUGUUAACAAACACAAAUAUAAGAUAUAUUCGUAAAACAGUAUCAAAUGCAAUUUGAAAUAUAAUGUUUAAAUAUGUUCGUCAACUCCAAAUAAGCAUUUUGAAUAAGCAAAUUAAUACAUAAAUACUCUCUAAGGAAAGUACACGCAGGCACUUUUCAAUCGCUUGUGUACUUCAUAAUAAUCAGGGUCUUUCUAAAUUCAUGCAUGAUUUUUUAUGCCUAUGUCUGAAUUGUGUAAAUAUCUGUUAAAUCACUGUUAAAAAGGAUUUAUAUAUUAAAAGUUAAAAUAGUGUCUAAACUUUAACCGGGCAUCUGUUGCAUUUAUUUUUACGUGUUUAUAUUUUCUGGCUUACUGUGCUUAAUUUUGUCUAUAAUUGUGCGUACUUGUAUUGUGGUUUUCAUAUUAAGACAAAGCGCACUACACUUAUGCUGUUGUUUUUGUCCACCAUUUCUAUACAAAAUGUUGUAUGUAAAUAAUUAAGCAUGUUGAUGUUGGUAAUAAUGUAUUUCCUGAUCUAAUAUUGAUGAUGCACUCAAUAAAGUACAUAACCAUUUAUGUGGACUAGUAUUGUUUAGUGAUAUUUUGUUGUUAUUACUAAUAAAAUCUUCAAGGAUUG